rnacentral:rRNA from 1 species
UACGUAGGGUGCAAGCGUUGUCCGGAAUUAUUGGGCGUAAAGAGCUCGUAGGCGGUUUGUCGCGUCUGCUGUGAAAACGCGGGGCUCAACUCCGCGCCUGCAGUGGGUACGGGCAGACUAGAGUGCAGUAGGGGAGACUGGAAUUCCUGGUGUAGCGGUGAAAUGCGCAGAUAUCAGGAAGAACACCUAUGGCGAAGGCAGCUCUCUGGGACGGUACUGACGCUGAGAGCGAAAGCGUGGGGAGCGAACAGG